rnacentral:lncRNA from 1 species
CCCAUGUACCAAAAAAAAAACACAUAGGUUCCCAGAAAUCACACAAAAGAUUAGGUUCUCGUAUUAAUAUAUGAUUAUAAAUAUAGCUCUAAAAAAAUAGUAAAAAAUUGAAAACUAAAAUUUAUUUGAAAAAGUGCAAAAAAAUAGGAAUUUAUUGGUGAAUUAAGAUGAAGGUAUAAUAGGAAGAUAGUGUGCAAAAAUCCACUUUCUUAAUUUAGUGUUAUCAUUAUAACUGAACACUUAUAAAAAAAUGGAAGGAGUAAAAUAUUAAAAUGGAAUUAACCACCUCAAGAAAAAUUUUAAAAUAUUGAAAUUAUUUACUAACUUUCAAAUAUGACACAAAAUACCCAUGAAAGUGAUGAUGUGUCAAAUUAUUAAGUAGGGGUAACAUGAGAUUUUCACAUGUAUCUUAUUUUCGUAGGUCCUUGUAAUAAAUAUAUAUAUGUGAGUAUGAAUAUAGUCCCGUAAAAAUUAUUAAAAAAUAGGCAAUCUUAUUAAUAUGUUAGUGAAAAUAUAAGUCUCACAACAAUCAUCAAAAUAAUUAGGUCACCGUAUUAAAUAUGAGUAUAAAUUUAGGUUCUACAUAAAUUAUUAAAGAUCAGGAAACCUUAUUAAUAAGAGGAUAAAUAUAGGUUCCGUAUAAUUCACACAAAAAAUUAUGUCCCCAUAUAAAUAUAUGAGUAUAACUCGUAAAAUUAUAAAAAAAACAAACAACUUUAUUAAUAUGAGUAAAAAUAUAAGACCUGUAGAUAUAACAAAAAAAAAAGGUUCUUGUAUUAAUAUGAAUAUAGC